rnacentral:rRNA from 1 species
UUCGCAAUGCCCGAAAGGGUGACGAAGCGACGCCGCGUGGGUGAGGAAGGCCUUCGGGUUGUAAAACCCUGUCAGGAGUUAUGAAAUGUAAGUGCGCUAAUAUCGUGCUUAUUUGACAAAGGCUCCAAAGGAAGCCACGGCUAACUCUGUGCCAGCAGCCGCGGUAAUACAGAGGUGGCGAGCGUUGUUCGGAAUUAUUGGGCGUAAAGAGCACGUAGGUGGGUUUGCAAGUCAGAUGUGAAAGCCUUCUGUUCAACGGAAGAAUUGCAUCUGAAACUGCUAAUCUUGAGUAUAGGAGGGGAGAAUGGAACUUCUGGUGGAGCGGUGAAAUGCGUAGAUAUCAGAAGGAACGCCGGCGGCGAAAGCGAUUCUCUGGCCUAUUACUGACACUCAGUGUGCGAAAGCUAGGGGAGCAAACGGGAUUAGAUACCCCGGUAGUCCUAGCUGUAAACGAUGGGCACUAA